GACGAACGCUGGCGGUGUGCUUAACACAUGCCAGUCGAACGGUAAGGCCCUUUCGGGGGUACACGAGUGGCGAACGGGUGAGUAACACGUGAGUAACCUGCCCUCAUCUCUGGGAUAACAGUCGGAAACGGUUGCUAAUACUGGAUAUGAGCUUGCAAGGCAUCUUGUGGGUUGGAAAGAUUUUUUUGGUUGGGGAUGGACUCGCGGCCUAUCAGCUUGUUGGUGAGGUAGUGGCUCACCAAGGCUUCGACGGGUAGCCGGCCUGAGAGGGCGACCGGCCACAUUGGGGCUGAGAUACGGCCCAAACUCCUACGGGAGGCAGCAGUGGGGAAUAUUGCACAAUGGACGGAAGUCUGAUGCAGCAACGCCGCGUGCGGGAUGACGGCCUUCGGGUUGUAAACCGCUUUCAAUUGUGACGAAGCUUUUUGUGACGGUAGCAGUAGAAGAAGCACCGGCUAACUACGUG
rnacentral:rRNA from 1 species